UACGUAGGGCGCAAGCGUUAUCCGGAAUUAUUGGGCGUAAAGAGCUCGUAGGCGGUUUGUCGCGUCUGCCGUGAAAGUCCGGGGCUCAACUCCGGAUCUGCGGUGGGUACGGGCAGACUAGAGUGAUGUAGGGGAGACUGGAAUUCCUGGUGUAGCGGUGAAAUGCGCAGAUAUCAGGAGGAACACCAAUGGCGAAGGCAGAUCUCUGGGCCGUAACUGACGCUGAGGAGCGAAAGCAUGGGGAGCAAACAGG
rnacentral:rRNA from 1 species